AUUCUGCCCAUGCGGGGAAGGAUGAGAAGCUUCGAUUAAGGUUCGACUCGAGCGAAAGCGAGAGAACGUUGCCGCAGGCAACGACCCGAAGGGCGAGGCGCAACGCGCCGAGUAAUCCUUCCCCCACCACCA
rnacentral:sRNA from 1 species